rnacentral:rRNA from 1 species
UACGGAGGGUGCAAGCAUUAAUCGGAUUUAUUGGGCGUAAAGGGCGCGUAGGCGGAGAUAAUAGUCAGAUGUGAAAUCCUGGGGCUCAACCUCAGAACUGCAUUUGAAACUGUAUCUCUAGAGGGUAGGCGGAGAAAACGGAAUUCCACAAGUAGCGGUGAAAUGCGUAGAGAUGUGGAAGAACACCGGUGGCGAAGGCGGUUUUCUAGCUUAUUCCUGACGCUGAGGCGCGAAAGCAAGGGGAUCAAACAGG